AGGGAUUUAGCUCAGUGGUAGAGCGGGAGUCUCCAAAGCUCCGCGUCGGGGGUCCAAUUCCCUCAAUCCCUG
rnacentral:tRNA from 1 species